UCCUGACCAGAAGAGACAACCCCUCAAUUAGUAAAAUACGGCCCACAGUACACCAAGCCAUUUGCCACUGCUUGGCUUUUUUUUUUUUUCUUAAUGGUUGGGAAUGCUUGGGUUCGACUAUAGAAUCAUUGGAUUCAUCGUGGAAUUGGGGCUGAGUUGCAGGGAGAAAAGGGGAACAUGCAGGAACUUCCCUCUCCCUCCAGUGACCUCGUAUGGUCUGUUGUAGGCUCACUGUGUCCCUUCACUCUGGACUCCCUCAAGGGUUCCAAGUAGGAAGGCACAGGGAGGAAGUAUCACUAGGGGAGGCUUCCAGAUAUUCC
rnacentral:lncRNA from 1 species